rnacentral:rRNA from 1 species
UGGGGAAUUUUGGACAAUGGGCGAAAGCCUGAUCCAGCAAUGCCGCGUGUGUGAAGAAGGCCUUCGGGUUGUAAAGCACUUUUGUCCGGAAAGAAAUCCUUGGCUCUAAUACAGUCGGGGGAUGACGGUACCGGAAGAAUAAGCACCGGCUAACUACGUGCCAGCAGCCGCGGUAAUACGUAGGGUGCAAGCGUUAAUCGGAAUUACUGGGCGUAAAGCGUGCGCAGGCGGUUUGCUAAGACCGAUGUGAAAUCCCCGGGCUCAACCUGGGAACUGCAUUGGUGACUGGCAGGCUAGAGUAUGGCAGAGGGGGGUAGAAUUCCACGUGUAGCAGUGAAAUGCGUAGAGAUGUGGAGGAAUACCGAUGGCGAAGGCAGCCCCCUGGGCCAAAUACUGACGCUCAUGCACGAAAAGCGUGGGGAGCAAAACAGGAUUAGAUACCCUGGUAGUCCACGCCCUAAAACGAUGUCAACUAGUUGUUGGGGACUUCAUUUCCUUAGUAACGUAGCUAACGCGUGAAGUUGACCGCCUGGGGAGUACGGUCGCAAAGAUUAAAAACUUAAAUGAAUUGACGGGGUCAUAGCUGUUUCCU